UACGUAGGGUGCAAGCGUUGUCCGGAAUUAUUGGGCGUAAAGAGCUCGUAGGCGGCUUGUCGCGUCGGCUGUGAAAUCCCGGGGCUCAACCCCGGGUCUGCAGUCGAUACGGGCAGGCUAGAGUCCGGUAGGGGAGACUGGAAUUCCUGGUGUAGCGGUGAAAUGCGCAGAUAUCAGGAGGAACACCGGUGGCGAAGGCGGGUCUCUGGGCCGGAACUGACGCUAAGGAGCGAAAGCGUGGGGAGCGAACAGG
rnacentral:rRNA from 1 species